rnacentral:rRNA from 1 species
CCUACGGGUGGCAGCAGUGGGGAAUAUUGCACAAUGGGGGAAACCCUGAUGCAGCGACGCCGCGUGAGUGAAGAAGUAUCUCGGAAUGUAAAGCCCUAUUAGCAGGGAAGAAAAUGACGGUACCUGACUAAGAAGCACCGGCUAACUACGUGCCAGCAGCCGCGGUAAUACGGAGGGGGCAAGCGUUAUCCGGAUUUACUGGGCGUAAAGGGAGCGUAGACGGGGCUGCAAGUCCGGUGUGAAAGCCCAUGGCUUAACCAUAGUACUGCUCUGGAAACUGUUGUGCUUGAGUGCGGGAGGGGCAGGCGGAAUUCCUGGUGUAGCGGUAAAAUGCGUAGAGAUUAGGAGGAACACUGGCGGCGAAGGCGGCCUGCUAGACCAUAACUGACGUUGAGGCUCGAAAGCGUGGGGAGCAAACAGGAUUAGAUACCCGAGUAGUC